UGAGUAACACGUGGGUGAUCUGCCCUGCACUCUGGGAUAAGCCUGGGAAACUGGGUCUAAUACCGGAUAGGACCAUGGGAUGCAUGUUCUGUGGUGGAAAGCUUUUGCGGUGUGGGAUGGGCCCGCGGCCUAUCAGCUUGUUGGUGGGGUGAUGGCCUACCAAGGCGACGACGGGUAGCCGGCCUGAGAGGGUGUCCGGCCACACUGGGACUGAGAUACGGCCCAGACUCCUACGGGAGGCAGCAGUGGGGAAUAUUGCACAAUGGGCGCAAGCCUGAUGCAGCGACGCCGCGUGGGGGAUGACGGCCUUCGGGUUGUAAACCUCUUUCAGUAUCGGCGAAGCUCCGUGGUUUUCUGCGGGGUGACGGUAGGUACAGAAGAAGCACCGGCCAACUACGUGCCAGCAGCCGCGGUAAUACGUAGGGUGCGAGCGUUGUCCGGAAUUACUGGGCGUAAAGAGCUCGUAGGUGGUUUGUCGCGUUGUUCGUGAAAACUCACAGCUUAACUGUGGGCGUGCGGGCGAUACGGGCAGACUGGAGUACUGUAGGGGAGACUGGAAUUCCUGGUGUAGCGGUGGAAUGCGCAGAUAUCAGGAGGAACACCGGUGGCGAAGGCGGGUCUCUGGGCAGUAACUGACGCUGAGGAGCGAAAAGCGUGGGGAGCGAACAGGAUUAGAUACCCUGGGUAGUCCACGCCCGUAAACGGUGGGUACUAGGUGUGGGGUUUCCUUUCCUUUUAGGGGAUCCCGUGCCGUANCUAACGCAUUUAAGUACCCCCGCCCUGGGGGAGUACGGCCCGCAAAGGCUAAAAACUCAAAAGGAAUUUGACGGGGGGCCCCGCACA
rnacentral:rRNA from 1 species